rnacentral:rRNA from 1 species
UACGUAGGGUGCAAGCGUUAAUCGGAAUUACUGGGCGUAAAGCGUGCGCAGGCGGUGAUGUAAGACAGAUGUGAAAUCCCCGGGCUCAACCUGGGAACUGCAUUUGUGACUGCAUCGCUAGAGUACGGCAGAGGGGGAUGGAAUUCCGCGUGUAGCAGUGAAAUGCGUAGAUAUGCGGAGGAACACCGAUGGCGAAGGCAAUCCCCUGGGCCGUACUGACGCUCGAUGCACGAAAGCGUGGGGAGCAAACAGG